GCCGAGGUGGCGGAAUUGGCAGACGCGCCGGACUCAAAAUCCGGUGCCCGCAAGGGCGUGAGGGUUCGAGUCCCUCUCUCGGUA
rnacentral:tRNA from 1 species